AUUGAACGCUGGCGGCAGGCCUAACCCAUGCAAGUCGAGCGGAGCGGCGGACGGGUGAGUAAUACCUAGGAAUCUGCCUGGUAGUGGGGGAUAACGUCCGGAAACGGACGCUAAUACCGCAUACUAUCAGAUGAGCCUAGGUCGGAUUAGCGAGUUGGUGAGGUAAUGGCGCACCAAGGCUACGAUCCGUAACUGGUCUGAGAGGAUGAUCAGUCACACUGGAACUGAGACACGGGGCAGAGUCCGACGGGAGGCAGCAGUGGGGAAGAUUGGACAAGGGGCGAAAGCCUGAUCCAGCUAUGCCGGGUGUGUGAAGAAGGUCUUCGGAUUGUAAAGCACUUUAAGUUGGGAGGCGUUACCGACAGAAUAAGCACCGGCGAACUCGGUGCCAGCAGCCGCGGUAAUUC
rnacentral:rRNA from 1 species